AAAAUGACUUGGCUAAGUGAUAAGAACUCAUUUUUCACAUGAAGAUGUCAUUUGUGAUUGUAAGCCACAUUAUCUGAAGGGUCUCAGGACUUGUCUUCAGUAUUGUGAUGCUGAGCUGGAUGGCCACUGUCUUCCUCAUCCCUUCCAAGGACAUCCCUUCCCCAGGAUCCACGUGUGCUGCUGCUGAGGAAUGUGACGUCCUCUUCCCCGGGCACAUCCACCUGCAGAGGGCCCAGCCCAUCCACUGGAGACACUGGAUUAUGAGGAAAUCCUGCAAGGGCAUAAAACUGAAGUAAAUGGAUUGGAUGGAACUGGAGUCAAGGGUGACUCCUGGAUUUACA
rnacentral:lncRNA from 1 species